rnacentral:rRNA from 1 species
CACGGGGGUUGCGAGCGUUGUCCGGAAUUACUAGGCGUAAAGGGCAGGCAGGCGGAUCCAUAAGUUUAUCGUUUAAGGCGUCGGCUUAACCGGCGUAGGGCGGUAGAUACUGUGGAUCUGGAAUGCGGUUUGGGGAAGACAGAAUUCCUGGUGUAGCGGUGGAAUGCGCAGAGAUCAGGAGGAAUACCGAAGGCGAAGGCAGUCUUCCAAGCCGUUAUUGACGCUCAACUGCGAAGGUGUGGGUAUCAAACAGGAUUAGAUACCAUGGUAGUCCCU